rnacentral:misc_RNA from 1 species
UAUAUAUGCCUUUUAUAAAGGGUUUCAUAUGUGUAAAGAGUUGGGGCUUGUGGAUAGGAUUCCUAGGCUAGUUUGUGCACAAGCUGCAAAUGCAAAUCCCCUGUAUUUGUAUUAUAAGUCAGGAUGGAAAGAGUUUAAACCUGUUAAAGCAAAUAGCACAUUUGCAUCAGCUAUUCAGAUUGGUGAUCCUGUUUCAAUUGACAGAGCUGUUUAUGCGUUACAAAAUUCAAAUGGGAUUGUUGAGGAGGCUACCGAGGAGGAGCUAAUGGAUGCAAUGGCGCAAGCAGAUUCUACUGGGAUGUUUAUAUGUCCACAUACAGGGGUGGCAUUGACAGCAUUGAUUAAGCUCAGGAAUAGUGGGGUUAUAGGGCCUACUGAUCGGACAGUGGUUGUGAGUACUGCUCAUGGGUUAAAGUUUACUCAGAGUAAGAUUGAUUAUCACUCUAGUGAUAUUAAGGAUAUGGCUUGUAGGAUUGCUAAUCCACCCGUGAGUGUUAAGGCUGAUUUUGGGUCAGUUAUGGAUGUUUUGAGGAAGUAUUUGUUGAGUAAAGAAUCGAAAUAUUAGGUUGAUCAUUGUUAGUUUUGCUUAUGCAGCUCUAGCUCUAGCUCAUUGUUGUUUCUGUAUGGUCACUGUUGUUGUCAUUUAAGGAUUUUUGUUAUUGGUGGUUCUAGAUAGGAUGUCAAAUUCUCUUUUUUAAUAGUUUUUAAAGAAGAGAAACCAUAUGGUCAGGUAGCCAUUUUUGGAUGGGUCCUCAUCAUUUGGACUUAAUAAAAUUUUCUUUUUAGCUCGAAAUAUUCAUUUACUAUAUCUCUUGUUUUAUGUUUUUGCUGUAUGCUAUGCAUGCUUGCAUUAUUGAAAAUGUAUUGGUAGGAGGAAAAAUGAAUGUUGCUGGUUUAGAAAAGAGCAUUCUAACUUGAUAAUUAUUAGAAUGAUUAGUGGAAGUAGCAGUUUAUCAAUUGCCAGAGAAAGGAUUGGUACAAUUUGUUGUUCACCUCUAUACUAUUUUCCUUGUUGUUUUAACAGCUGACAAGGUCUCCUGCAGAGGACGGUGCUAGAUUGUAAAAUAUAGCUUGUGUGGAAGAGGGUUUCACAGACAGGUACUAGACCAUUAUACAAGGGUGCUUUAUGUGUGUGCUUGCAAAUGUAGCCUUGAUGGUUUUUGAUUGAGGAACAUUGGUUAAAGCACAGGCUAGCUGCAAGCACCAUUAUUGGCUUCUCUAUUGCUACUGGCAUUAUCAUACAAUACCAUCUUUGAAAAGAAGCUGUCCUCUCCAUUCUGUGGCAAGCCUUUUCUCCAUUUUUCAACUGUUAUUAAUGUUUCUCCACUUUCUGUGCUAUUCAUGGACAUUGGCGUUUGGCAAAGCCUCUAGACCCAUCAAAUCAUUCCCCGUUUGCUCCAAAGUACAAAACAUGCUUUCGCCUGCCAAAGUUUGUGGCAAACACAAGUUCCUCACUAUCCUGGAAUUCAAAUAAUCUUGAUUAGCAAACUGAUUUCCUUCCACCUUGAUCAAUGUUUUGGAUCAAAGACCAAUAGACAGAAUCCUUCACUGAUUCAUUGUGUUUCUUCCCAUUUAGAAUCAAAUCUCACAUUCUAAUGGCUUUUGUUUGGGUGCUUGCAUUAAGGGACGAUUCAAUGAUGAAAUGCUGAGGGAGAGAAAUCAGAAGGAAGGCGUGUACUUAUUCAACAUUAAUUUAUAGCUGAUGGCAUACUUGUGACACUAGUUUAAUGUCCUGCAAGUGUGAUUAGGGCAGAUCCUAUUUGCAAUUGUGGAACAUUUCUAUGUCGAAUGUUGCCUGUUCAUACAAUUUGUACCAUAAGAUCAAAUUCUAUCUUGCAAUUCUCUCGUAUCCCAUUGGCAGAAUUACCAGUUGCAUUAUCAUUCCAACUCAAUGUUCAAGGCAACCCCAUGGCCGCAAGGAGUUCAAAACCAGGACUCUAAAAUAUUCAGGUGGCAAACAAGAAGAUAAGCUUCCCUUAAUGGAGAUGUUAAAGCCAGCUACCCUUCCUAAAUAUCUCAAAGGUCGAUAUCCUACAGGCUUCACUGUGUGUCAUGGAAGAGAAGAGAAGAGAAAGCAUGGAACAGAAACAGAACACUGAACAAUUCCAAGGCCAAACGAUGUUAGAUUACCAAAAUUUUCUGUUCCUCAACGUUAUCUUCACCUUAAACCUGACAUCUCUCUGCACUUUUAGUGAUAUUUAUUAUUAUUAUUAGUUACUAGUUUUCUACUGAUAUGAUUAACUUGAUCAGGCAGUUCUGCAGCAAAUGAAAAAGCUGAUGAAGUGGAAUAAUUUUUUUUCCAGUCUUUUGAAUCCUUCCAUUGCUAUGAAUUUGAAGCAAAGCAUAGAGAAAGUGAGAAUCAAGGCAAGAUGGAUUAAGCAUAAAGCAAGAAAAUUCCCUUCAGGAACUAGUGAAAAAACUAGCCUGCAAAGCCUGUUAAGAGUCUCCUACACUAUUAAAAAUACCACUAGUUUAUGAAGUUGUCCAUGUUAACAACAAUUCCUUUUUUUUUUUUAAUCUGAUUUCGACUAAAACUUAAACUCAGAUCUCAAAUAAUUUAUUUAUACAUUCCAUACCUACUCUCA